GCCUCGGUAGCUCAGCCGGCAGAGCGCCUGGUCUGUAACCAGAAGCGCGGGGGUUCGAUUCCCUCCCGAGGCU
rnacentral:tRNA from 1 species